CCCUUGGUUGGUUUAGAGAUAUUAAUUAGCUUCAAAUCUUCCUUUACGGGUGUAUGAUCAAUUCCAAUGUUAGGGAAGGGAAGUUGAAUGAUGCUCUUUUUGGCCUAGUUUAUUUGAGGUCGUUGCCGGAAUUUAUAGGUCGUGCACUUCAUUCGACUAUUUAAAUACAUUCUGUGUCUUCUGGCUAAAGAGCACAUUUUCUUUUGUAAGUUCAUGUGGGUUCUACUUUGGACAAGGCAUGUGAGGCUAUUGGUGAAGACUUGGUUGGUUCCAUGCCAAUCCCAUGCAACAUCUCUGUCGAAGGGUGCUUGAUUAAGGAUGGAGAGUUUUUAUUUUUGUCCAUGUUGCUUUAUCCGUAGCACUAAGUUUAUAUUUGCUUUUAUGUGAGAAUGAGCAUGUAAGAAAUUAAUACAAACUUUAGACAAUCUUGUUUGAAGUAAAAGUAGCAUGUGACUCGUUAGCAAAGG